rnacentral:misc_RNA from 1 species
AAUUAUCAACCGCUUCAGGUUUUUGAAGCUGGCUUGGAUUGUGGAGGGUUUUUUGCAGGCCUUUUGAGGUCAGCUCCUCUUAAAUGCAUUAGCAGGAAUUCUUUGUGUUGAACUGCCAUUGGUGUGAUAAUGAAAAUUUUACGCCAUGAAGGCUGGCACGGGCAGGGUUUUAAUCCCCUGGGAUUCUGCUUCUUAACAGUCUUCUGGACAACAUUUGACU